UACGUAGGGGGCAAGCGUUGUCCGGAAUCAUUGGGCGUAAAGAGCGUGUAGGCGGUCCGGUAAGUCGGCUGUGAAAGUCCAGGGCUCAACCCUGGGAUGCCGGUCGAUACUGCCGGACUAGAGUUCGGAAGAGGCGAGUGGAAUUCCCGGUGUAGCGGUGAAAUGCGCAGAUAAUCAGGAGGAACACCAGUGGCGAAGGCGGCUCACUGGUCCGGUACUGACGC
rnacentral:rRNA from 1 species